rnacentral:tRNA from 1 species
GCCGGGGUGAUGGAAUGGUAGACAUAGGGGACUUAAAAUCCCCAGACUUAAACAGUCGUGUGGGUUCGAGUCCCACUCCCGGCACAA